rnacentral:rRNA from 1 species
GACGAACGCUGGCGGCGUGCUUAACACAUGCAAGUCGAACGCUGAAGCCCUUUCGGGGGUGGAUGAGUGGCGAACGGGUGAGUAACACGUGGGUAAUCUGCCCUGUACUUCGGGAUAAGCCUUGGAAACGGGGUCUAAUACCGGAUAGGACCUGUCCUCGCAUGGGGGUGGGUGGAAAGUUCCGGCGGUAUGGGAUGAGCCCGCGGCCUAUCAGCUUGUUGGUGGGGUAGUGGCCUACCAAGGCGACGACGGGUAGCCGGCCUGAGAGGGUGACCGGUCACACUGGGACUGAGACACGGCCCAGACGCCUACGGGAGGCAGCAGUGGGGAAUCUGGCGCAAUGGACGAAAGCCUGACGCAGCAACGCCGCGUGGGGGAUGACGGCCUUCGGGUUGUAAACCUCUUUCGACAUCGACGAAGGGGCCCUGUUGUGGGGUUUUGACGGUAGGUGUAGAAGAAGCACCGGCUAACUACGUGCCAGCCGCCGCCGUAA